CUCCUUCUUCCUUCUUUCCGCCACGGGGUCGUCCUGCACCUUUAGCCGCUUCGGUUAGCUUCUGUUGCUCUCCUUGUUCGCCUUGGUGGCGUCCUUCAGCAUCGUAAAACUGCCCGCCCCCUGAGAGCGAUCCGUCGAGGUAUGCAGUCGGAUCCGACGGUUAUCAGCAUGACGUUGGCCUCGAUAAUCGAGGCAGCAGACUCGUCGCCUCCUGCACCGAUUCCGCUGCCUUAGGAGUUGCCUUCCUCGUGUCCUCCGAUUUCGCCGUCCUCCGGCACCAUGGCGGUGUCGGCGUGGCCCUGUCGGUCAACAUUGGUGAGGAGCCCUUUGUCGGUCGAGGGUUUUGCUUGUUUGGUUAAAGUUUAUAUUUUUGCAUGGUUUUGAUUUUGUAUCGUAGCUAGGGUUUUCUACUUCCUUGCGGUGGAUUUAGUGAUUGAACAAUGGGAUUUAUCUAUAGUUUAUAUGAUUUGAUUUAUCCGCCUCGAGUGAAUUUACUGAACUUUCAGAUACUACAGAUUUUUUUCCAGCAUUUAGUCCACUUGAAGGGUUCAAUUUGCCAGGAACAUUAGCAUCGAAAAUGCGCAUCUGGUGUUAUAUAUAUAGCGGUUUAGCUUUUAGAAGAAGAGUUAACUUGUAUCAGCUUUUCUCUAGUUGGUAAAUCUAAAUUUUAACUUGAGGUAAAUUGAAGAGAAUACAAAUAUAUCCCUUAGAUAAUUGUGGUUUUAUUUCAUCCAAUUUUGGAUGCUUGUAUAUUUGUUAUUGAUACACAUAAUGCCUUGUCUAUAAUUUGCAUAAAAUAAUUCAUCAAAUAUUUUUUUUUCUGUUUUGGAAGAAUACUGAAAUUAAUUUAUCUAAACAAUCCUUUCAUCAACAAUUUUAAUUCAUCCUAUGAACACUUCUCCUGCAUCAAACAAGGUGAAACCUUUGUGACAGAUAUGGUUGUUUUAACGGAUUUCCCUAUUGUGCUUAAAAUAGUUAAUAUCACAACUUCUAGUACCAGUGCUUCGUAGCUACUUAUUAAACAAAGCUAAGCUAUGUAUAAUUCUAUUUUAAUCGAAUAAAUACACUCAUGUUCUUAGUAUAUGUUUGCAUCGACUUAUUCCCUCCCUGUCAUUGAGACUCUUGAAGAUGUUCACCGAAGACCAAUCUUGGGGUCAUAGUGAUGUUAAUGUACAUUAUACUAGUUUAGGUGUGACGGUGCAUACAUUCUGGAAUAUGUAUACAUUUAGAGAGUACAACAGAGCUCUUAAAUCUGGAUUUUAGACAUUUUGUUCUUCAUCUCUUCUCUUUUUACCUUUUAGGAGGACAUGCAUGUCAUCUAGAUAUUUCUUGCUUGUAACCUCUAGAGAAUUUAGAAUGUUGGUAACUACUGGUGCAGUUUUAUGUGAUUAUCUUCGUUAGCUUCUUAAAUAUUUGCAUGUUGUAUCUAAUAAUCAUUGAUGUUCUCCAGUUACCAAGUGAGUCAUAUACUCAUUAUUAUGAAUCAGAAAUCAUGACUGAUCAGGACAAUAGCCUUCAAUUAGAGAUGAGAGUCAUGCCAACAAAGAAUCAAAUAUUUUUGAGUUCAAGAUCUCAUGAAAUGAACUCAUUAAAUAAGCAGGAUGAACGAAGUGGCUGGUAAUGGUUCUUGCUGGUGGCAUAGAUUUCAAGGUGAUUGAGGAAUUGCUGAUUCCAGGUUGCAAUCCUGCUAUUCGAUGCUGAGAUGAAAGCUGCUAAGGCAAUCUAUUUCCAGGCCAUGCUUCAAUGCGGCGUUCCACACCACAUCGAUGCGGUCAACGUCAAUGGCUCCGACCUCAUGAUGCGUCCAACCUUCCAGGCAAUGGACGAUGCCUCCG